rnacentral:rRNA from 1 species
CAAUAGCGUAUAUUAAAGUUGUUGCAGUUAAAAAGCUCGUAGUUGAAUUUCUGGUGGGCGCGCCGGUCUUCCAAGUGUUGUACUGGGCGCAGUCCGCCAUCCUUGUGGAGAGGGCUCGCAUUGAGUUGCGUGUCGGAUCUGCAUCAUUUACUGUGAAAAAAUUAGAGUGUUUAAAGCAGGCUGUCGCUUGAAUACAUUAGCAUGGAAUAAUAAGAUAGGACUUCGGUCUAUUUUGUUGGUUGCGAACCGAGGUAAUGAUUAAUAGGGAUAGUUGGGGGUAUUCAUAUUUAAUUGUCAGAGGUGAAAUUCUUGGAUUUAUGAAAGAUGAACAACUGCGAAAGCAUUUGCCAAGGAUGUUUNCAUUAA